rnacentral:lncRNA from 1 species
GCAGGACUGCUGUGCUCAGGAGCACGGAGGCCUCCGUGCUCCUGAGCCGUUUUCGAUGAUGAAAUUUCCGAAUCGACGAUCGGCUCCGUUAGACUUGAUCUAGCGUAUUUGAAGUUUCUAGAAAAUAAUUUUGCUAUUUUUUGAUAUCAAUUACCUAAUGAUCGAAAGGAUUCAAAAUUAAUAAUUUUCAACGGCUGAAAAUAAAAAUCUUAUAAAAAGUGGUGAUAUAGCACUAAAAUUUUCGAUCAGAAAUAUUGAUCUUGUUGUAGAUAGUAUAAAAAAUUUUAUAUCAAAAUUUCAUCUAAUUUGAAUACUUCUACACUGUUAAACUUGAAAACGGCAGAUAUCAACCAUUAAAAAUUAUUGAUUUUGAAUCCUUUAAAUCACUAGGUAAAUGAUAUUAAAAAAUUACAAAAAUUAUUUUCUAGAAAUUUCAAAUGCACUAGAUCAAGUCUAACGGAGCCGAUCGUUGAUUCAAAAAUUUCAUCAUCGAAAAUGGUUUAGAAGAGCACAGCACCUCUGCUCUCUCUCUCUG